GCUGGGCAUGGUGGUGCACACCUGUAAUCCCAGUGUCUGGGGAGGCUGAGGCAGGAGGAUUGCAAGUUCAAAGUCAGCCUCAGCAACUGAGUCAGGCCUUAAGCAACUUAGCAAGACCCUGUGUCUA
rnacentral:sRNA from 1 species